rnacentral:rRNA from 1 species
UACAUGGGGUGCAAACGUUGCUCGGAAUUAUUGGGCGUAAAGGGUGCGUAGGCGGUUUGGUAAGUCUUAUGUGAAAUCUACAGGCUCAACUUGUAGUCUGCAUGAGAAACUGCCGGGCUUGAGUGUGGGAGAGGUGAGUGGAAUUCCUGGUGUAGCGGUGAAAUGCGUAGAUAUCAGGAGGAACACCUGUGGCGAAAGCGGCUCACUGGACCAUAACUGACGCUGAUGCACGAAAGCUAGGGGAGCAAACAGG